rnacentral:rRNA from 1 species
AGGAGUUUGAUCCUGGCUCAGAACGAACGCUGGCGGCGUGCUUAAGACAUGCAAGUCGAACGGUAAGGCCCCCUUCGGGGGGUACACGAGUGGCGCACGGGUGAGUAACGCGUGGGCAAUCUACCCUCGGGUCUGGGACAACUCCGGGAAACUGGAGCUAAUACCGGAUAAGACCACGAGGUCUUCGGACUUCGCGGAAAAAGGUGGCCUCUUCUUGAAAGCUACCGCCCGUCGAUGAGCCCGCGUCCCAUUAGCUUGUUGGUGAGGUAACGGCUCACCAAGGCCGCGAUGGGUAGCUGGCCUGAGAGGAUGAUCAGCCACACUGGAACUGAGACACGGUCCAGACUCCUACGGGAGGCAGCAGUCGGGAAUUUUGGGCAAUGGGGGCAACCCUGACCCAGCAACGCCGCGUGAGGGAUGAAGGCCUUCGGGUCGUAAACCUCUGUCGGGAGGGAAGAAAGGCUUCCGUGAAAAUAUUGCGGGAACUUGACGGUACCUUCAAAGGAAGCGCCGGCUAACUCCGUGCCAGCAGCCGCGGUAAUACGGAGGGCGCAAGCGUUGUUCGGAAUCAUUGGGCGUAAAGAGCGUGUAGGCGGCUUGGUAAGUCGGGUGUGAAAGCCCGGGGCUCAACCCCGGAAUUGCACUCGAAACUGCUUCGCUAGAGUCCCGGAGAGGAAGGCGGAAUUCUCGGUGUAGAGG